rnacentral:rRNA from 1 species
UGGGGAAUUUUGGACAAUGGGGGAAACCCUGAUCCAGCCAUGCCGCGUGAGUGAAGAAGGCCUUCGGGUUGUAAAGCUCUUUCGGCCGGAACGAAAUCGCAUCUCUUAAUAGGGGGUGUGGAUGACGGUACCGGAAGAAGAAGCACCGGCUAACUACGUGCCAGCAGCCGCGGUAAUACGUAGGGUGCGAGCGUUAAUCGGAAUUACUGGGCGUAAAGCGUGCGCAGGCGGUUACAUAAGCCAGAUGUGAAAUCCCCGGGCUUAACCUGGGAACUGCAUUUGGGACUGUGUGGCUUGAGUAUGGCAGAGGGAGGUGGAAUUCCACGUGUAGCAGUGAAAUACGUAGAGAUGUGGAGGAACACCGAUGGCGAAGGCAGCCUCCUGGGCCAAUACUGACGCUCAUGCACGAAAGCGUGGGGAGCAAACAGG